CAGUAGCCGCGGUAAUACGUAGGGUGCAAGCGUUAAUCGGAAUUACUGGGCGUAAAGCGUGCGCAGGCGGUUAUAUAAGUCAGAUGUGAAAUCCCCGGGCUCAACCUGGGAACCGCAUUUGAGACUGUAUGGCUAGAGUGUGUCAGAGGGGGGUAGAAUUCCACGUGUAGCAGUGAAAUGCGUAGAUAUGUGGAGGAAUACCGAUGGCGAAGGCAGCCCCCUGGGAUAACACUGACGCUCAUGCACGAAAGCGUGGGGGGCAAACAGGAUUAGAUACCCCUGUAGUCCCUGUCUCUUAUAC
rnacentral:rRNA from 1 species